rnacentral:rRNA from 1 species
GGGUUUUACCGUUGGUCGGGCUAUCCAGUCUGUACUAGCGUGUAGAAUUCCUACCUUCUGGGGAACCAUCAUGUUAUUAAUUUAGCGUGAUGGGAAACCAGGACCUUUACCUUGAAAAAAUUAGAGUGUUCAAAGCAGGCUUACAGUCUGAAUACAUUAGCAUGGAAUAAUAAAAUAGGACGGUGGUCCUGUUUUGUUGGUUUCUGAAUCACCGUA